AUUGAACGCUGGCGGCAGGCCUAACACAUGCAAGUCGAACGAGUGGCGGACGGGUGAGUAAUGUCUGGGAAACUGCCCGACGGAGGGGGAUAACUACUGGAAACGGUAGCUAAUACCGCAUACCAUCGGAUGUGCCCAGAUGGGAUUGGCUUGUAGGUGGGGUAACGGUUAACCUAGGCGACGAUCCCUAGCUGGUCUGAGAGGAUGACCAGCAAAACUGGAACUGAGACACGGGCAAGACGCCUACGGGAGGAAGCAGUGGGGAAUAUUGCACAAUGGGCGCAAGCCUGAUGCAGCCAUGCCGCGUGUAUGAAGAGGGCCUUCGGGUUGUAAAGUACUUUCAGCGGGGAGGCGUUACCCGCAGAAGAAGCGCCGGCUAACUCCGUGCCAGCAGCCGCGGUAAUAC
rnacentral:rRNA from 1 species